GUGGGGAAUCUUCCGCAAUGGACGAAAGUCUGACGGAGCGACGCCGCGUGAGUGAAGAAGGCCUUCGGGUCGUAAAGCUCUGUCAUCAGGGACGAACGGCCGGAGGAGUGGAAAGCCACCGGAUUGACGGUACCUGAGAAGGAAGCCACGGCUAACUACGUGCCAGCAGCCGCGGUAAUACGUAGGUGGCAAGCGUUGUCCGGAAUGAUUGGGCGUAAAGCGCGCGGAGGUGGGAUCUUAAGUCCAUUUUUAAAGUUCGGAGCUCAACUCGGUGAUGGGAUGGAAGCUGGGCUUCUUGAGUACCGGAGAGGAAAGCGGAAUUCCCCGUGUAGCGGUGAAAUGCGUAGAUAUGGGGAGGAACACCAGUGGCGAAGGCGGCUUUCUGGACGGUGUCUGACACUGAGGCGCGAAAGCCAGGGGAGCGAACGGGAUUAGAAACCCCGGUAGUCC
rnacentral:rRNA from 1 species